GUUGGCGGUAACUGCAACGGAUACUUUGGCCAAUGAGGCAUUUUCGCGAACAUGUCAACGCGUGUGCUCAACUGCUUCCGUGUACUUUGAUCGUGUCGAGAAAUACAGCUAUCCUCUGGUUGGUUGAUGAGAAAAUGGAGAAAAUCGAGGAAAAUGUGCUGAAUUCAGCCAUUACAGGCAGAUGGGUGAACUGGCCUUGGUUGGGUGGACUAUACGAGUGACCCGAAUUUCUCGUAUUUUGAUGAUGGGCGGUUUCGAUUUCUCGAAGAAUCUCUAGGCUGCCUUUGGUUUCAGAUUAAUGGAUAUUUCAGGUCUCUUUUUUCCCCAUUUGGCCAAUACCAAAUUAUGCUUUUACAUUUGUGAGAACUCCUCUUGCCAGCCUGACCUCGGCUUCUGCUGCUAUCAGUAGUGCUGAAAAUUGUGCCAGCAAAUUAUUUGGAUUCAAUUGAUAGUACAAACUCGCUGAUUUGCCGUCAUGAGGGAAUGUACUCAGAAAUGUCUCGACUCAUAAGCUGUGGAAAGAAAUGAGAGGCUAAGAUUGUAUCCUAUGGCACUAUGUAAUUGUGCUUCGAAAGGGCAUCUUGAUGAGGGGAAGGGAAUCAUGGGUAGGUGAUCAAGAAUGGGAUAUGCCCGGAUUCACAUUUGUGGAGUUCUCUAGUGAAUGUUUAUGUCAAAUGUGAGAGCCUUCAAUGUGCACGUCAGGUGCUUGAGGAGAUGCCCAUACAAGAUGUCCGUCUUCGACUGCGCUAAUUGCAGAUUUUGUGAGCCAAGAAUAUAGCAAUGAUGGUAAUUUGUUGUGCGAGAUGCUGAAGGGAUGUAUUAAGACAAAUGGACGUACCUUGGUUAACGGCCUCUGAGCUUGUUGCAUGUGCGUGGACUUAGAAAUGGGGAAACAGUUGCAUGCAGAAGUAAUCAAAUGUCUUCUCAGAUAUAUAUGUUGGGUCUGUUCUUGUUGAUGUAUAUGCAAAAUGUGGGGAGAAGGAACAUGCGAUUAGAGUCUUCUCAUGCAUGCCUCGUAAGAAUGUUGUAUGAUGGAAUGCAUUACUUAAUGGAUAUGCUCAGAUGGGUGAUGGGAAAGAAGUUUGAAACUGUUUUGCAGAACAAUGGAAUCAGAAAUUGAGUUCAGCAAAUUCACCUUAUCCACUGUCCUCAAGGGUUUGGCAAACUCAGAAAAUUUGAGAGAAAUCCAGGCUGUGCAUUCUCUGGUUAUCGAGAUUGGUCAUGAGCUUGAUGGGCUUCUGGUUUGCUGCCUUCUUGAUAUAAACUCCAAAUCAUAUAUAUUCAAAGUUUUCAAAAGAAUUAAAGAUCCAAACAUUGCAGCCUUGAAUUCUAUGAUCAAUUGCUGCAAUCAGUGAGACCAGAGUCAAGAAGCAGUCCAAUUAUUUUACCUAAUGAGGCACACACGUAUCAGACUAAAUCAGUUUAUCUUUGCUAGUCUCAUCAGUGCUGCUGCUAGUCUGGGUGACAACCAUUAUGGUGAAAGCAUUCAUGCUUGUGUUUGUAAAUAUGGUUUCGAAUCUGAUAUUCUCAUCAGCAAUGCAUUUGUAACAAUGUAUAUGAAAACUCAAUCUGUGGAAAAUGGCUGGCAGUUUUUUAAAGCAAUGAUGAUUGAGAAUUUGGCUUCUCGGAAUAAUCUUUUAUCAGGAUUUUGUGAUACUGAAACUUGUGAUCAAGGACCAAGAAUCCUCAUCCAGUUGCUUGUGGAAGGUUUCGAACCCAACAUGUACACAUUUAUUAGUAUUCUUAAGUUUUGUGCUAGCUCCUCAUAUGUAGGUUUUGGGAAGCAAUUACAAGCGCAUGCUGCAAGAGUGGCCCUGAUGAUAAUUGUUCAGUAGGAGCAGCUCUCAUUGACGUAUAUGCCAAAACCAGGUGCUUGGAAGAUGCAGAUGUAAUUUUCAAUAGAUUGAGUGUCAGACCCCUUCACUUAGACCAUCAUCAUUGCUGGGUAUGCACAGGAUUAUCAAGAGAGAAGGCUGUUAAGUACUUCAGUCAGAUGCAACAUGAAGGUGUGAAGCCCAAUGAAUUCACUCUUGCCAGCUGCUUGAGUGGUUGCUCCUAUAUAACAGCUCUGGAAAGUGGGCAGCAGCUCCAUUCCUUGACAAUUAAGUCUGGACAGUUGGCUCAUACACAUCUUGCUGGUGUACUUGUUGAUAUGUAUGUGAAAAGUCUGGUGCAUAGAAGAAGCCGAAGCUGUUUUUAAGGGCGCUGCUUCACUAAACAGAGUCCUGUGAAACACAAUCAUAUGUGGAUGCUCAUAACAUGGACAUGGAGAGACAUCCCUUGAAGGUUUUAGGAUUAUAUUAGAUGAAGGCAUUUCUCCUGAUGAUGUUACUUUCAUAGGUGUUCUUUCUGCAUGCAGCCACAUGGGUUUAAUCGAAGAAGGGAAAAUGCAUUUUAGUUCAUUGAGCACAGUAUGGGAUUUCUCCAGUAAUUGAGCACCAUGCCUGUAUGGUUAAUCUCCUCAGUCAGGCAGGCAAAUUUAGUGAGGUCAGAAGCUUUAUUAAGAAGAUGAAACUAACUCAAAAUGCCCUCACUUGGGAGGCAUUUCUUUGGGCUUGUAAAAUUCAUGGAAAUGUUAUCAAACAUUUUUGCAGCCAGAGGAAUGCGGGACGAGGUCACAAAGACUAGGCCGUUAAUGUCCAAAUGGCGAAUCAUGAAGGAACCAGGCUGCAGCUGGGUACAGGUUGAUUCUCAACCUCAUUUGUUCUUUGCUCAAGAUGGCUCACAUCCAAAGACCAAGGAAAUCUAUCAACAAUUGCAAGUCCUGGCUGGGUAAAUAUUAAGUGAAAGAUUACUCCAGGGACUGGCAUUAUUUUUGGGUUCAAUUAAGUCUGGUAGAAUCUGGAUAUAUCAGUGAAGCAAUGGUGUUAAUCAGAGGGAAAAAAGGCAACUGAGCCAUGGCAGAAUCUGGGAGGCCCCUAUAAAGCAUACUUGAAUCCAGGGAGACAUUGAUCUUAGAGAAGACACUGCUGAAGAUUUGUUGGUCACCUUUUGAUACUUCUAAGGCCAUUGCUAACAACAUCCCUCCCACCAUCAAAGCAGCAGUUGCCCAAUCAAUGUGCUCUAGAAGACACUGAUCAUAGGACAUGUAAGUUUUGUGGAUGUGAUGAGAUGGUUUAGAUUGUACAAAUACUGAUUUUGGGCUGUCCAUUCAAUAGAAAAAAAAUCAAAUGAAAUAAAAUCAAGACUUUUAAGAGA